rnacentral:sRNA from 1 species
CGAAGUGCUGUAAAAACCCGGGCCUUCACGAAAAGCGCCUUCCCUUAGCGAGAGAGGGAUCGCUGGGAGAGGCGAAGGGGCGGAGCGAGGGCGGCCGGAAAAGGAGCAGGGCCCGCGGCGGGAGAAGGACAAUAUAUGAAGAGCUUAGUGAAGUUUGAUUGGAACUGAAAAACAUCAGUAUGAAAGCAUCAAGUGGAUAAAUCUCAGAAACAUAAUCUCUAGAGGAAGAAGCAAAUCACAGAGAAAUACCUACAGUGUGAUUCCAUUGAUAUAAAGUCAAAGGCAGGGAAAACCAACAGUAUCUUUUGUAGGAAUACGGACAUCUCUGAUAAAACAAUGAAGAACAAGUGAGUAAUUAUCACAAAAUUCAGCAUAAUGGUGAAUUUU